rnacentral:rRNA from 1 species
GGGUCAGUAGGUUGGUCGUGCCACCGGUACGUACUGGUCUCACUGAUUCCUCCUUCCUGAAGAACCGUAAUGCCAUUAAUUUGGUGUUGCGGGGAAACAGGACUGUUACUUUGAAGAAAUUAGAGUGUUUAAAGCAAGCUAACGCUUGAAUACAUUAGCAUGGAAUAAUGAAAUAGGACGAUCGAUCCUAUUUUGUUGGUUUCUAGGAUUGACGUA